UCCUGGGUGGCUCAGUUGGUUGAGCGUCCGACUUCGGCUCAGGUCAUGAUCUCACAGUUUGUGGGUUCGAGCCCCACAUCAGGCU
rnacentral:tRNA from 1 species